rnacentral:rRNA from 1 species
AUUGAACGCUGGCGGCAUGCCUUACACAUGCAAGUCGAACGGCAGCACGGGUGCUUGCACCUGGUGGCGAGUGGCGAACGGGUGAGUAAUACAUCGGAACAUGUCCUGUAGUGGGGGAUAGCCCGGCGAAAGCCGGAUUAAUACCGCAUACGAUCUACGGAUGAAAGCGGGGGACCUUCGGGCCUCGCGCUAUAGGGUUGGCCGAUGGCUGAUUAGCUAGUUGGUGGGGUAAAGGCCUACCAAGGCGACGAUCAGUAGCUGGUCUGAGAGGACGACCAGCCACACUGGGACUGAGACACGGCCCAGACUCCUACGGGAGGCAGCAGUGGGGAAGUUUGGACAAUGGGCGAAAGCCUGAUCCAGCAAUGCCGCGUGUGUGAAGAAGGCCUUCGGGUUGUAAAGCACUUUUGUCCGGAAAGAAAUCCUUGGCCCUAAUACGGUCGGGGGGAUGACGGUACCGGAAGAAUAAGCACCGGCUAACUACGUG